rnacentral:rRNA from 1 species
GACGAACGCUGGCGGCGUGCUUAACACAUGCAAGUCGAACGGAAAGGCUCUUCCUUGGAGGGGUACUCGAGUGGCGAACGGGUGAGUAACACGUGGGUAAUCUGCCCUGCACUUCGGGAUAACUCUGGGAAACUGGGGCUAAUACCGGAUAGGACCUCGUUAUGGAUGUUAUUGCGUGAAGAUUUUUCGGUGUGGGAUGUGCUCGCGGCCUAUCAGCUUGUUGGUGUGGUAUAGGUCUAUCAAGGCGUAGAGGGGUAGCCGGCCUGAGAGGGUGUACGGCCACAUUGGGACUGAGAUACGGCCCAGACUCCUACGGGAGGCAGCAGUGGGGAAUAGUGCACAAUGGGCGGAAGCCGGAUGCAGCGACGCCGCGUGGGGGAGGACGGCCUUCGGGUUGUAAACUGCUUUCGCGUGGGACGAAGCGAAAGUGACGGUACCUGGAGAAGAAGCACCGGCUAACUACGUG